rnacentral:ncRNA from 1 species
UGGUCCAUCGGGACCUUGGAUACCUGGGUUUAGUGUU